UUGAGAGGCAUCUCUUAAAUAUCAAAGGUGAGCCAGUACAGGAUGGACCCGCGUCUGAUUAGCUAGUUGGUAAGGUAACGGCUUACCAAGGCGACGAUCAGUAGCCGACCUGAGAGGGUGAUCGGCCACAUUGGAACUGAGACACGGUCCAAACUCCUACGGGAGGCAGCAGCGGGGAAUAUUGCACAAUGGGCGAAAGCCUGAUGCAGCAACGCCGCGUGAGUGAUGAAGGCCUUCGGGUCGUAAAACUCUGUCCUCAAGGAAGAUAAUGACGGUACUUGAGGAGGAAGCCCCGGCUAACUACGUGCCAGCAGCCGCGGUAAUACGUAGGGGGCUAGCGUUAUCCGGA
rnacentral:rRNA from 1 species